UUCAUUUUUGCCAAUACAGAGAUCUCUCUUGGCUCUUUGGUCGUCACUGGUCUUUGUUUCUCCUUCGACUCUCUUUGGUUGGAGCUCGAGUCGAUUUCUUUUUUCUCAGAUCCACCAGGUUUUUCAAUUCAAUUAUUAGUUUAAUUCACCGUACAUCUGAAUUCCCUACUUCUUUUUGUUGUGUGUGUUUCUGGGUCGUAAUUGAUGAUUGCUUGAUAUGGUGGAAACAUGAAUCAGGAAUUGCAUAAAGUUUCUGACUUUAAGAAUUCCCACCACUUAUUCUCUCCAUGCUCGUUUUAAGAUUGUUUUGAAACUAAUUGCUUGAAGCUCAGUUGUGUAGCUCAAAGAUGGAUACUACUAGAGAUGAUGAAUUCACAUUCUCAAAGGUUCCGUCACCAGAUAGUGAAGUUGUUCUUGAGGCAAAAGAACUUGCAUCAGAUGUGGGAAAUAUUACCCUUAAAGAUGGAUUAGAUCAACAAAGCAAUGGUCUUAUUUGGAAAGACAAGUCACUUCCUCCAAAGGAAGAGACAAUAGGUUCUUUGUCUUUUACAGUGAUUGAUUCUUCUUCAUCUUCGAAAAAGCCGUCCAAUGAUUCAUCUGAGACUUUCAAAACUCCAGCUAGAAAGCCUAUAACUCGUACCAAAGUUCCCUUUGAGAAGGGUUAUAGCCAAAUGGAUUGGAUGAAACUUGCACGAACACAUCCUGAUCUUGCAGGCUUGAAGGGAGAGUCAAACAGGAGGCUUAUUCCAAUGGAUGAAGUAAAGAAGCACAAAUCAGGAGAUUCAAUGUGGACUGUUUUGAAAGGUCGCGUGUACAACAUAUCGCCUUAUAUGAAUUUUCAUCCUGGAGGUGUCGAUAUGCUGAUGAAAGCGGUUGGAAGAGACGGUACGCUAUUGUUCAACAAAUACCAUGCUUGGGUCAAUUUUGAUAUCUUACUUGAGAAAUGCCUUGUUGGAGUUUUGGAUGAUACCAAAGCGAAGAAGCAAGAAGCCUAAUCGCUAUCUUGCUAAAAAGGUAGCAAACCAAGAAAAAGCAAUUUUUCUUUCUUCUGCCCAAUCAGAUUCCGACAAAGACUGAGGGUAGUUUAGGUUUUCCAAGUCGAAGACAAAACCUGACUCGUCUCACAUAGUCUCCAUUGGCUUAUAAUAAUGACACUAUCAUUUUUUUGCCAAUAUUUGUCUUCUUUCUUGGGACACCUGUUUCUGAAAUUUUCUUCUUGUUUUCUCCUUUCGAUUUCUAUCUGGAGCCCGAGUUGCAGAUCCACCAGUCCCGUGGACAACUUCCAACAAAGAUCAUUGCUCUUCUGCAGAACCUGAUAAUCUCCAACAAACAUUCUUCGGUUUACGGUGUUACACUAGCAGAAUAGUUCUGCUUUCCCAUUGUUGAAGAUGGACAGGGCAGAUACAUCGGGAUUUGUUACUGGCGGAAGUUAUUCAUCUCUCAAGUUGCUCCAAUAUAUGCUUAUAACUACACGUGUGAUGUGCUAAGUGGUAGUUUUUGGGGAGUUCUCUUUUAUCUAUAUCCUUAUUAGUUUUCAUAUGAAUUUGAACGACGGUGUAGCUCAUCUCUCUAGUGACACCAACAUUGAUAUGGGUGACACCGAUCUUAGCCUGAAGUGCCUUCGGGGUUCUCAAAACUAUUUUUGUUCCAAUGUUUCUAAUUGCACU